UUUGAUAGUACCAAAAAUUACUCCCUUUUUCGGGAAUAGGUGAGUCGAAGCUUCAUCUCAAGGCUUUCAGGACAUAUAUGCUUGUCUCUGGCGGUUCGGACACGGUGCGAUGCAAAAUAUUUUUGACCUUCACAGGAAUCGCCAUACAAUGGUUCAACAACAUACCUAAUCAUUCAAUUCCUUCAUUUCAGGUUAUUCCGCCAUACAAUAACGACAUCCUUCAUUAAGCCUUUUCGCAACCCUCGGCUCAAGGUUGGGGUUGUGAACCAUCUUGUCCGAACAUGAGUCGUUAAGCCUUUUCUCAUGCAUCGACUCAA
rnacentral:lncRNA from 1 species